rnacentral:rRNA from 1 species
GAUGAACGCUGGCGGCGUGCUUAACACAUGCAAGUCGAACGAGAAAUGUAGACGGAAACCUUCGGGCGGAAGCCUUCAUUUCGAGUGGCGGACGGGUGAGUAACGCGUGGGUAACCUGCCUCAUACAGGGGGAUAACAGUUGGAAACGACUGUUAAUACCGCAUAAGACCACAGCAUCGCAUGAUGCGGGGGUAAAAACUCCGGUGGUAUGAGAUGGACCCGCGUUCGAUUAGCCAGUUGGCGGGGUAACGGCCCACCAAAGCGACGAUCGAUAGCCGAUCUGAGAGGAUGACCGGCCACAUUGGGACUGAGACACGGCCCAAACUCCUACGGGAGGCAGCAGUGGGGAAUAAUGCACAAUGGGGGAAACCCUGAUGCAGCGACGCCGCGUGAGUGAAGAAGUACUUCGGUAUGUAAAGCUCUAUCAGCAGGGAAGAAAAUGACGGUACCUGAGUAAGAAGCCCCGGCUAACUACGUG